rnacentral:misc_RNA from 1 species
UAGCAGUUUAUUCUACAUGCAUGUAUGGGAAAAACUAUAAUAUGUAUACCAUCAAUUACUUAAUCCUUCUGACAUUGCAAUAACUUCACCUCCCAGAGUUCCUAGCUAUGUAUUAAUAUGAGCUCCAUCUUCUUCUCAAUUGAAGUUCUCAUUUUCUGCUUUGCCCAUACAUGCAUGUAGAAUAAACUGCUAUGCAUUCCCUGAAGGGAAAUAGCAUCAUCACUUGCUCAUGAGCAAAGCUGAUUACUAGAAGAUGGAGAAUACAUAUAUGGCAAUUAGCUAAUUAAUAUAUAAAUCAAAGUACAUUAGUAAACAAAUUAAGGGACUAACAAUAUAAGACUUCAUGGGUGCUGUUUUGGGAGGAAGCUGGAGGGAACUAAAUCUUGUAAAAGGCCAUAAUCAGGAAGCUGCUGCUGUGGAGCAUAUAGAUGUGGAUAGAACAUGGCAGUAGGGUCACCUUGGUGGUGGUUAUUAUACGGUGGAAGCAAGCGAACGAAGAUGUCCUGAGGAAAGGUUGGUCGAUGGGCCAUCAUUGAAGAUGUAGAUGGCAGAAGCGAAUUAGGUGACAAAAUUCCUGCGGCAGUAUUAGCUCGAAGAGUUGCAGGGCAUUGAUGGUUAUGUUUCCCUUCGUACGUAGUGAUCACAAUUGAUGGGUCUUCGAAUGAUCUCUCUACUCGUUUCUUCACUGUGCACUUCUGACUGGUGCAUCUGUAAUAGCUUCUUGGAUAAGGACUAUUCUUGACUGCCUUCUGGCCGUACUUUCUCCAUCUGUAACCAUCUUCAAGGUGAUCAAUCUCACUCUUGGUCAAGAAGGAAAACCUUGGCUCUCUUUCUCGUUUCUCUUUCUUCU